GUGACUGACAGAAUAGACCAAACUCUCUAUAGUUUGGACUCAGAGCUCUACAAAAGUGAAGUCAGUGGUGGUCCAAAUAGUAGAAAGUAGAAGAAUGGGUAUAAAAUCAUCAAGGCGAUGGACAUAAAGCUUACAUAUUAGUAUGUAGUGGGCAUCCAUUCACAAAGAUUGGAGUAUGGGGCAGAAGUCGUGAUCUCACAAAAAAAUUUGAUACUUUGGAGAAAUUACUGACGUCCCUUCCCAGAUGAGUAGGAGCCAAACUUCAAUCUGGUCUUGAUCAUCACGAACAGAAGCUGGGCAAGGAGUAGAUGAGGCAGAUUUUUAUAGUAUGCUGGCAGGAAGAUGAAAUGAAGACAUCAUCCUACCCAGAUCAGAAGGUCAAUAGAAGAGAUGGACCAAUAUAUUGAAUGUGGUAGGAUGAUAAGAGAACAAAACCUAGAUCCCAACCGAAGAGUCUACAGCAGAACCAGACAAGUUACAGUAAAGUUUUAGGAAGUACAGCCAGAGUUUAACAGAGGAAAAAAGCAAGUUGGAAGUUGAAGUAGGGAGGGCUUUAUUGGGUAUAUUUGACUGUAAAGUAGCUCUUAACAGAGCUGAAAGAGCAAGGCCAGACUGAUGUCUCAAAAAAAAAGUGGAAAUUAAUGUGAAGUUAAUUAUAGGAGAGGAGGCAGUGAAAAAUUACUAGAAAUAAAAAAUAAAUGGGGAAAGUUUUUAUUAGGCUAAAGCAAAGGAGCUAUUUUUAAAAUAUUACUUACAUGACAUUGUGAUAGAACAUGAUGGAGGAUAAUGUGGGAAAAAAUAUAUGUAUGUAUGUAUGUUGUAUAACUGGGUCACUCUCCUGUGCAGCAAAAAUUGGCAAAACAUUGUAAAUCAGCUAUAAUAAAAAAAUAAAUUAAAAAAUAAAAAAGAAUAGGUAAACCUAGUCACUUCUACUUCACCCAAUGACUCUAUGACAAAUUAUUUCUGCUUUUAAGUAGCUAUUUCAAAACAAGAGGAGUUCCUUUUAAGAUGGAGGAAAUUUGGAGUACUCAUUUCUUAAACGAAACAGCCACUCUUAUUUUUAAAUUGGAGUUUCUCGAAGAUAAAUAUCUCAGAUAUAUAUGCUUGCAUAAUUUCUAAAUAGCACAAUCAUACUUAGAAAAUAUGUUUGCCACAAGAUUGACCAUAAAAGUGUCUGUAAUUAUCUACAUUAUCAUGGAAAAAAAUAAGAGACAUACCCAGUCUUAAAGAUCUAGGAGAGUCUGGGGUGAAAAUAAUUGCAAAUGAUGCAACUAACAAGAGCUUAAUCUCCAAUACAUACAAGCGAUUCAUACAACUCAAAAUGAGGAGUUCCCAUUGUGGCUCAGAAGGUUAAGGACCCGAUACAGUGUCCAUGAAGAUGUGGGUUUGAUCCCUUUUCUUGCUUGGUGGGUUAAGGAUCCAGAGUUGCAGUGAGCUGCAGCCCAAGUCAAAGAAGUGGCUUGGAUCCAGCAUUGCUGUGGCUGUGGCAUAGGCUGGUAGCUGCAGCUCUGAUUUGACCCCUAGUCUGGGAACUUCCAUAUGCUCCAGGUGCUAAUAUAAAAAAGGAAGAAGAAAAAAAAAAAAAAAAAAACCCUCAACCACAACAGCAAAAAAAAGAAAAAGAAAAAGAAAAAA
ensembl:lncRNA